UACGUAGGUGGCAAGCGUUAUCCGGAAUUAUUGGGCGUAAAGAGCGCGCAGGUGGUUGAUUAAGUCUGAUGUGAAAGCCCACGGCUUAACCGUGGAGGGUCAUUGGAAACUGGUCGACUUGAGUGCAGAAGAGGGAAGUGGAAUUCCAUGUGUAGCGGUGAAAUGCGUAGAGAUAUGGAGGAACACCAGUGGCGAAGGCGGCUUCCUGGUCUGUAACUGAUACUGAGGCGCGAAAGCGUGGGGAGCAAACAGGGAUUAGAUA
rnacentral:rRNA from 1 species